rnacentral:lncRNA from 1 species
AUUUAUUCAAUUAUUCAUAAAUAGAUAACUUUUAUCAUUAUGACUUGUACAUUCGGUGCAUUAAGAGUAUUUAUAUGAUUAUAAAAUCUACUUACUUCUAGAGCAGACGAAACCAAAAACUAAAACAAUUAUUUCAAUAAAGUGAAUUGGCAGAAAAAAUGCCCGUAGCAGACUUUUUCAUAGACAAAAAUGUAUUCGUUACUGGUGGCAGUGGAUUUCUAGGAAAAGUGUUGAUAGAAAAGCUUUUAAGAUCUUGUCCAGGUAUUGGAAACAUUUAUGUACUGUUAAGGCCAAAGAGAAGUAAAUCGAUUGAAGA